rnacentral:lncRNA from 1 species
CAGAAUAGAAAGUUGAAGUAGACACUUCAACAAUAAUAUUUGGAGGAACAGAAAGAAAAAAGAUUGCCCUCUCCCUCUCCCUCUCCCUCUCUUUCCACGGCCUCCCUCUCCCUCUCUUUCCACGGUCUCCCCCUGAUGCCGAGCCAAAGCUGGACUGUACUGCCGCCAUCUCGGCUCACUGAAACCUCCCUGCCUGAUUCUCCUGCCUCAGCCUGCCGAGUGCCUGCGAUUGCAGGCGCGCGCUGCCACGACUGACUGGUUUUCGUAUUUUUUUGGUGGAGACGGGGUUUCGCUGUGUUGGCCGGGCUGGUCUCCAGCUCCUAACCGCGAGUGAUCCGCCAGCCUCGGCCUCCCGAGGUGCCGGGAUUUGCAGACGGAGUCUGGUUCACUCAGUGCUCAAUGGUGCCCAGGCUGGAGUGCAGUGGCGUGAUCUCGGCUGGCUACAACCUCCACCUCCCAGCCGCCUGCCUUGGCCUCCCAAAGUGCCGAGAUUGCAGCCUCUGCCCGGCCGCCACCCCGUCUGGAAAGUGAGGAGCGUCUCUGCCCGGCCGCCAUCCCAUCUAGGAAGUGAGGAGCGCCUCUUCCCGGCCGCCAUCCCAUCUAGGAAGUGAGGAGCGUCUCUGCCCGGGCGCCCAUCGUCUGAGAUGUGGGGAGCGCCUCUGCCCCGCCGCCCCGUCUGGGAUGUGAGGAGCGUCUCUGCCCGGCCGCCCAUCGUCUGAGAUGUGGGGAGCGCCUCUGCCCCGCCGCCCCAUCUGGGAUGUGAGGAGCGCCUCUACCCGGCCGCGACCCCAUCCGGGAGGUGAGGAGCGUCUCUGCCCGGCCGCCCCGUCUGAGAAGUGAGGAGACCCUCCGCCUGGCAACCGCCCGCCUGAGAAGUGAGGAGCCCCUCCGCCCAGCAGCCACCCCGUCUGAGAAGUGAGGAGCCCCUCCGCCUGGCAGCCACCCCGUCUGGGAAGUGAGAAGGGUCUCCGCCCAGCAGCCACCCCGUCCGGGAGGGAGGUGGGGGGGUCAGCCCCCCACCCGGCCAGCCACCCCGUCUGGGAGGUGAGGGGCGCCUCUGCCCGGCCGCCCCUACUGGGAAGUGAGGAGCCCCUCUGCCCGGCCAGCCACCCCAUCCGGGAGGGAGGUGGGGGGUCAGCCCCCCGCCCGGCCAGCCACCCCAUCCGGGAGGUGAGGGGCGCCUCUGCCCGGCCGCCCCUACUGGGAAGUGAGGAGCCCCUCUGCCCAGCCAGCUGCCCCGUCCGGGAAGGAGGUGGGGGGGUCAGCCCCCCGCCCGGCCAGCCGCCCCGUCUGGGAGGGAGGUGGGGGGGUCAGCCCCCCGCCCGGCCAGCCGCCCCGUCUGGGAGGGAGGUGGGGGGGGUCAGCCUCCCGCCCGGCCAGCCGCCCCGUCCGGGAGGUGAGGGGCACCUCUGCCCGGCCGCCCCUACUGGGAAGUGAGUAGCCCCUCUGCCCGGCCACCACCCCGUCUGGGAGGUGUACCCAACAACUCAUUGAGAACGGGCCAUGAUGACAAUGGCAGUUUUGUGGAAUAGAAAGCGGGGAAAGGUGGGGAGAGGAUUGAGAAAUUGGAUGGUUGCUGUGUCUGUGUAGAAAGGGGUAGACAUGGGAGACUUUUCGUUUUGCUCUGUACUAAGAAAAAUUCUUAUCCUGUUGAUCUGUGACCUUUCCCCCAACCCUGUGCUCUCUGAAACAUGUGCUGUGUCCACUCAGGGUUAAAUGGAUUAAGGGCGGGGCAAGAUGUGCUUUGUUAAACAGAUGCUUGAAGGCAGCAUGCUCGUUGAGAGUCAUCACCACUCCCUAAUCUCAAGUACCCAGGGACACAAACACUGCGGAAGGCCGCAGGGCCCUCUGCCUAGGAAAACCAGAGACCUUUGUUCACUUGUUUAUCUGCUGACCUUCCCUCCACUAUUGUCCUAUGACCCUGCCAAAUCCCCCUCUGCGAGAAACACCCAAGAAUGAUCAAUAAAAAUAAAUAAAUAAAUAAAUAAAUAAAUAAAUUUAAAAAAAGAAAAAAGAUUGAAGAAUAAUGAAAAAAUAAUAAUAUUUGGAGAAUUCAAUACCUAACUUUAAAUAGUAGAUAAAAAAUUAGGCAGAAAAGUUCAACAAGGAAGUAGAAGACUUGAACAAUACUAGCUAAGGAACCUAAUGGGCAUCUAUAGAUUGCUCCAUCUGGCAAUAGCAAGACACACAUUUUUCUCAAGCACACAUCAAACACUCCCCAAAAUAGACCAUAUGAUAGGCAAGAAAACAAAUCUCAAUAAAUUUAAAGUGAUUAAAAUCAUACAAGUUAUGCUUUUGGGCCACAGUGUAAUAAAAUCAAUAAUAGGCAGAAAUUUAGGAAAUUCACAAAUAUAGGUUAAUCAAACAAUACCACUUCUAUAUAGCUUAUGGGUCAAAGGCACCAUAAUAGGAAUUCAUAAAAUACUUUAGAUGGAUGGAUACAAUAACGCAAAAUAUCAAAACUUAAGGAAUACGACAAAAGCUGUGCAUUGAGAGAAAUUUAUAUCCUAUAUUAAAUGUCUAUAUUAAAUGCAUUUAAUAUAGGAAAUGCCUAUAUUAGAAAACUUGAAAUAACUCAAAUCGGUAACUUAAUCUUCCACCUAAGAAACUGAAAAAAGAAGCACAAGCUAAACCAAAGAAAGCAGAACGAAGG